rnacentral:ncRNA from 1 species
AGCAGUAUGUUGCCUUCCACAACCACGGUGUCCACCUGCGCGGUCGAAGAAAUCCCAUUCCAGUUAUACCAAAACUCAAUCCUGACACGGGGAGGUAGUGACAAUAAAUAACAAUACCGGGCGCGUUAGUGUCUGGUAAUUAGAAUAAGUACAAUCUAAAUCCCUUAACGAGAAUCCAUUGGAGGGCAAGUCUGGUGCCAGCAGCCACGGUAAUUCCAGCUCCAAUAGCAUAUAUU